rnacentral:lncRNA from 10 species
UUUUGCUCAGGUUCGAGGGCAUCUUUGAUUUUUCUCAUUCUUCCCAAGACCUUACAUGGUCUGGCCCCCGCAUUCCUCCUUUGCCCCAGCCUCCUACUUUCCCCCCUCCCUUAAGACCCAAGCUGCACUGGCCUCCUUGCUAUUUCUUGAACAUGUCAGAUGCUCCUGCCUUAACACCUUUGUGGUGGCUGUUCCACCUGCCUGAACCCCCUUUCCCAGACACCCCAACGACUAACUCCUUUACCUCUUGCAGGCUUUCUCAUAAAGGUCAUUCUCUUAGAAGGGCCAACCUUGACCAUUCCUAUUUAAAACUGCAAUCUGUCCUCUCACAGGCAAGGCCUAUGCCCUCCUUCCUCUCUCUGCACUCCUUUCUUUCCAGUGCACUCAUCACCUUUGACAUACUGUGACUUUUUUUAUCUUAUUGUGUUUAUUGCCUUAUUGUGUUAUAUGUAUUAUCUAUUAUAUUAUUAUCUUUUAUUUUUUGUUUAUUGCCUGCUCCUCCUGCUACAACAUAAGUGCUCCGUGGCAGGUGUCUUUGCUCAUUUUACUAACUUCUCUUAAGCACCUACGACUCAACCUGUCACAUAGCAGGUGUUCAACAAAUGUUUAUCAAGUGAAUAAAUGUAUUCUUUUCUAUGCUUCUUUAAAUAAAUACAGCUGACCCUUGAACAAUGUCGAGGUUAGGGGUGCUGACCCCACACACAGUCAAAAAUCCACAUAUGACUUUUGACUCUUUCAAACUUAACUACUAAUAGCCUACAAGUAGUCUUACCAAUAACAUGAACAAUCAAUUGAUAUGUAUUUUGUAUGUCAUCUAUAUUAUACACUGUAUUCUUACAAUAAAGUAAGCUAGAGGACAGCAAGUAUUAUUAAGGAAAUCAUAAGGAAGAGAAAACAUACUUACUAUUCAGUAAGUGGGAAUGGAUCAUCAUAAAGGUCUUCAUCCUUGUCAUCUUCAUGUUGAGUGGGCUGAGGAAGAGGAGGAGGAAAAGGAGUUGGUCUUGCUGUCUCAAGAGUGGCAGAGGUGAAAAAAAUCUGCCUAGAAGUGGACCCACAGAGUUCAAACCUGUGUUGUUCAAGGGUCCACCGUAUAACCAUGAUAUUAGCAUUGUGAACAUUCUCUCUUCGUCUCCUCCUUCCACCUACCCAACUCUCCACUCAGGGGAGAUUUAUAAGCAAGAUUUUGAACACUGAAAAUCAAAUUAAGUGGUCUGGAAAAGCUGCAAUGGCAAACAGGGGAAAACGAUUUGGAAAGCAGCCCUUAACCCUACAUUUUCCUAUCCUGUGAAAGCUGUGAAGAAUUGUGCCUACACGAGGCCAAUGGCCCCAGCUCUAUCCUCUAAUCACCUUCUUCUUCUAUUUCCCAAAUGUAACACUUACCCAGCCAACAAGUAAGGAAAUAGAUUAGAAAGCUUUUGAGUGACUCUUUUAGUGAACCUGGACCCCAAUCAAUCAGAAAAGUUACGUGGGAUUAUGCCAUUGGCAUUAGUUUUUCAUGUAUGGUAAAUACAUGGGUUCGUCUCAUUUGAAAGGAAUAGGCACAUUCGUGUCAUCUUAAGAACUGGGGUUUUAUGAUUUAUUUAAGGAGCCAUCUAGUAAUAAGGUAUACAGGGGUAGGACAGAACCUAAUGUAUUACAGGCUCCAUAGAGGAUAGACUUGGGAGGUUGUUCAGGACUGAAGCUGGCUCUGGGCUCCUUGUUGGCUUGUUGCCCCAUUAACAUCAGGAAUUCUUGGAUCUUCACUAUGGCACUCCCAUUGGUAUGGAUCUCCUACUGUCUAUUGAUUUCUGCUUCUCUCUAGGCAUUUUCUUUUUUCUCUUCUUGUACCAUCUGACUGACUCCAUCCAUGUCUCCAGGAGGAAGAAUGUGACCAUACUUGCUAAUUACCAUGGUCCACGCUUAGGGCUCUUACCCCAUGGCCUCUUGUAGGUCAUCAGUCAACCCACAAAGUGGCUGCCUGUGGUUUAGGUAGGACCAUUAAUCAAGGGGAACACAGCAGGCUUGUGUUUCACCAUAAUCAUAGCCAACCCCUCUUUGAGACUAUUCCCCACAGGACCUCUGGGAUCGUGUCAAGCUCAAUACAUUGAUCCAGGUACCCAGAACGCCAGUCACUGUGUCUUUGUCCCCACUCAGAACACAUUACCCCUGAUCUUUUCUUACCAGCAUUCUAACCCUCUAGCCUUCAUCGUGGGGAAGCGUUGACAGCUUAAUACGAAACAGUCUCACCACAAAACAACCUGCUGGUUUCUGGAAACUCCCCAGCUCCCAGACUAAGGCAUUCAGGACAAUCCAAACUCCCAUUUCCACAAAUUCCAGAAUGGAUUUUCAUAAGCAUCAGGAACACUGAAAGGGCCUGUAGGCUCCACAGGGCACCUACAUUUCCUGGGGCUUCCCUCAGAAAGAAGGUGGAGGGUAAAUGCGGUGGCCGCGUAUAAGGAAAGGAAAAUGAAGGUUUUCAAGCCUGCAUGAAGCCUAGAAAGUGCCACUGUGUGUAGCCACACCCAUAAAUAUUUUUGCUUUGGUAAAAUUACAGGCAGAGGGCCCUGCCAAUUCAGAAAACAAUCUAUUGGCUGCCAUUGCCUUGUGUUCCACACUCUGUGCGGUACCCACUGCAUAGAGAAAGUCACCUGGAAUUAAUAGGAUUCCUUGAUAUUUGUUUUCAACAAAUACUUCCUGAAUGCCUACUAUGCACCAAACUCCACAGUCAGGAACAGGCCUAAUCCUGUUGGUGUUUUUAUUUCAGUCUCAGCUCUGUCAACCUGCUUGAAGCUGCAAGGAAUUUGGUGCUCGGGGACAGGCCUCCACAAGUCCAAUGAAGUUGGCUGCGUUUCUGAUUCACUUCUCUAUCCAAGAAUAAAAAUAGGGGCUGAUCUACUCAAACGAUCCUGGGAGAUUAAAAGAUUUUGAAGCCAAAACAAAACCCGAGAUAAGCUGCCUACGUGUGCGUGAGGAGGCAAGUCAGUUCCAGGAGCCAGCAGUGUCCGGGAAGGGCUCCCCGCAGCCUGACAGGACUUGUCCCAGCGACCUCUUCCCUCCCGAGGUCCUGUUACCUGUGUGCGUGUCAGGACAAAGCCCUCUGUGCCACUGGCCUCCCUCUCACGUGGUGCUGUCCUGCCCUUUUUUGCUCGGUUUUGAAGAGCGAGCUAUAAGCUAUAUCGUUUUGCUUUGGAAAGACACUGGAUUUAGAACCAGCUGCAGUCCUUUAACAACCUCUCUGACCCUCAUUAUCCAUGUGGCCUUUGGCAACCUCUGUGAGCCUCAGUUUUCUUGUCUUCCCCCGCUAUGGGGAUGUCAGAGGCAACUCCAGGCGGUAACACACUGGAAAAUGCUGCAAGUCCACAGUACUGGGUGGAGAGAAAUUUAUUGUUAUUAUUGUUGUUCUCUUUCACCCCAAAUGGACAGCUUGAUCUUUCCCUUAGGGAAACGCUUUCAAAUAAAGUGAUUAUGUUUUGGAGACCUAGCAAAAUGGAUUUGGAUAACUUCCAUCAGGAGGGAGGAAGAGAGCCGGUGGCCUUUUGUUAUGAGACCACAGGUAACCAAAUGUUU